rfam:Erinaceus europaeus unplaced genomic scaffold scaffold00077, whole genome shotgun sequence
GUCUAUGGCCAUACCAUACUGAACACACCCUAUCUCCUCUGAUCUUGGAAGCUAAGCAGGAUCAGGUCUGGUUAGUUCUUGGAUGGAAGAGAAAGACAGAGAGAAAGAGAGA